rnacentral:sRNA from 1 species
AAUAACUUAAUAAUAAGUGAUGCAGUAUCCUAGUCAGUAUUAUCUUUCUGAAGGCGGGCCUAAAAAUCCGUCAAGGGCACAUCGAUGAAGUUCCUGGUGCUGGCUUUUGACGCCCAGUUGGGGGCUGGUACUGGGAGUUAAGGGGAAGGGGCGACCUGCAAUGGCAUGUGGGCGUUGACCCCGUCCCCGUGGAGACCCAAGUGCGUGGGGAGUCGGAAACGGCGAACUAUGGCUUGGUUGUUAACCUGCAUGUGGUAGGAAGCUGCGUGCAGUGUAGCCUGACUUGAAGUGGCAGUGGUGAAUUCCCCUGGGGCAAACCUAACGUACGGGCCCGUACGAUGGGAUUUGCGGGAUGAAACCUCGGCUGCAACAGAGUCUAAGAAAGACUAAUACUGUUGAGGAAAACUCCUAGGCUGUCCGGCACCCCGCCGGGGCAGGUCAGGGAUUAAAGUGUGGACUAAGUGGUAAUCUAGCCCUGAGAGCGGUGACGCCUCAGAUACGGUUUAAUGGGAAACCACCGGUUUGGCGACAGCCGGCACCGUUAUGGGAAAACCUGCUGGACCUAAGCCACAACAUUUACCUGGCCUGCUACCACUUAUUAAAGUUUCUAC